CUGUGGUCUCUUCUCCCAUAAUAUUAGAGGUCCUUAGCAACUUCACCAGAGGAAAGAAAGAAAGAAGGUCUGUACCAGAAAUGGCAUUAUCGUCAUCAUCAUUCUGGUACUUCAUCCAUCUAUUUCUCUAUUUUCCUGGUGAUUUGACACAAAUGUCUGUACGUCUUGGCAAAACAAAAAGAAAGGACGGAAAGGGUAAAUGGAGGCCUGAUCUGAUCCAGCUAUCUUGAAACUAGGCAAUUGUGAUCGUGACAAUCACCUUCCAUUUCACAUGCCAAACAUAAAACUCGAAGGUUGUGGACCUCUGUUUUGCUCCAUGAUUUCUAUUGCUCAUCAUUAUUGGAAGAUUUAAUCGUUUUGGCCACAGUAUAUACUGCAAACCAUCACCUAAUGAUCAGUAUUGGGGGAGGGGCCCUUGAUUUGAUGCUUCAUUAUUUGCUUGCCAAAUGCAAAUGGGAAGAAGAUGUGUGUCGUUUAUAAUAUGAAGAGAGCUGAAUACGACAAUGCCCUUUGUGUGUGAUUGGGUAAAAUAAAAUUUUGUAAUAACAUAGUACAGCUUGUCGGAGUCUUUUGAUAAAAAAACACAGCAGAAACAGUGAAAAAACUUUUGAGCAAAAAGUAAUGUAUCAGAGAGAAGAAUAAGAAGGAGACAAUGGUAUCCUUACACAAUGAGAUGAAAAAUAGAAAAGAACAUUAUAUUUACCUCAAGAAAGCAAAGCAUAAUUUUUCAUUUCCU